rnacentral:rRNA from 1 species
AGUGAACGCUGGCGGCGUGCUUAACACAUGCAAGUCGAACGAGAACGGAAUAUAGCUUGCUAUAUUUGUCAGCUAAGUGGCGCACGGGUGAGUAAUGUAUAGAUAACCUGCCCUUAAGAAAGGAAUAACAGUUGGAAACGACUGCUAAUGCCCUAUAUGCCUUUAAUACAUAAGUAUGCAAGGGAAACGCUUUAGUGCCUAAGGAUGGGUCUGUAUGGUAUCAGCUUGUUGGAGAGGUAAUGGCUCACCAAGGCUAUGACGCCUAACUGGUUUGAGAGGAUGAUCAGUCACACUGGAACUGAGACACGGUCCAGACUCCUACGGGAGGCAGCAGUGGGGAAUAUUGCACAAUGGACGAAAGUCUGAUGCAGCAACGCCGCGUGGAGGAUGACACAUUUCGGUGCGUAAACUCCUUUUAUAUAGGAAGAUAAUGACGGUACUAUAUGAAUAAGCACCGGCUAACUCCGUGCCAGCCGCCGCAGUAA